UGAUUGGAUAUUUCUUUGAAGUGUUAUUUUUGGUAGUUGGAGUUUUAGGAUCAUGGACAUGUUUUCAAAUUUGCAUAUUUCUUGUCAGAUACAACUGAUGAGCCACCUCUAGAAUAAUGGUACGACAAAGGGUACUUUUGGUUAUACAAAUAUAUUUUAUGGGCUUUUUAGAAUUUUGGUUCAACUUUAUUGCAGACACGUAUUUUAUUCGUCGGGUACAACUCUGCCUUGAUUUUCACGCGCUCCACUAUUUUGGCCAUUUCAUCUUCUUCAUGAGCCUAUUUAUUUUCAUUCUUUGUAAUGUUCCUGCUCUCUUCACUUAUGGUCAUGCUUAUAUUCACGCCUUCAUUUUUUUAUUUUAUUCUAUUUUUCCCUCUCCACUUUCAUGCUCCGACUGAAUUUACCUAGGUGAGUUUUCUUUUUAAUUUUUCGAUUGAUUUCUGGGUCUUCUUUCUCCUAAUUGAUUGGAUAUUUCUUUGAAGUGUUGUUUUUGGUAGUUGAAGUUUUAGGAUCACCCACAUGUUUUCAAAGUUGCAUAUUUCUUGUUAGAUGCAACUGAUGAGCCACCUCUAGUUCUACAAGUUUCACACUUUCUUCAUCUUUAAUUUCCUCUUACCUAUCUCUUUCUCUAUCUUCUCCAUUGGAGUUUAUAGUAUUCUGCUAUGGAUACACUCUCCAAAAUACACGUGCAUCCUGAUAAAAUCCAAAAGCCUAAGGACAGAAUGAAGAGAAUAUUUCUGGUGAGAAUGUAAACCGUUGGUUCAAAUCAGCUAAUCCAAACGGGCUCUUAGACUAUUGAUUUGGAAUCUUCAUUUACCUAUAAAGUUACAUUUGCAUUUGAUCUUUAUUUUUCUUUUUAAUGCAAUGUAUAAGUGGAUUUUUGGUCUACAACUACAAGUGUUUAAUUUUUCCUCCUUUUUAAAAAUUUUCUGGGUAGAUUCUACUAAGUUUCCCUCUCAAUAGAAAUGCUAAUUUAAAGGGAAGAACUUUGUUGCACUUAAGGUGUUCGACGAUAUGAUUAAAAAAACUGAGUAAUAUUCUACCAUUUCUUUUCCCAUAGGUGAAUUUAUCACAAGUAUCUAUCCUUUUGUAAGGCCAGAAAUUUUGAUUGCACAAAUAUAGGUCAUUUGAAAGAUGUUUCGGUAACUGUAGGUAUGGUAGUGAAAUAUUUAGCAUAUCCUUUACUGGGAUGUGUUGGAAAAUUCAUUUGUAUCUAAAAAGAUGAAGCCUUUUCAUGAAAGAAAAUGAAUAUGGAUAAUUCUCUAAUGGUGCCCUGCAUUUUGACUGUGCUGCAAUUAGUAAUAUUAAUUUGUCAGGAAUUCAUCAUUAGCAGAAAGCUCUCAUUUUAGUUGUUUAUCUGGAGUAUCUAUUUAUAUGAUAAGGUAUACACGAUUAAUUACAUUAAUUUUCUCUUCUUUUCAUUUGAUAUCUAGGUCAAUAUAAAUGUGUAUACACACAAACCUUCUUAUAUAUUUGUCACCCUAACGGUGUUUAAAUGCAGUACUUGUCAUAACUUUGAACUCCUUGUUUGCCUUUAUUUUAUUGUAUAAAUGAAAUAUGUUUUUUUGUACUGGUUUUUCUUCAUGAAAUGUGGCUUCUAAAACUAGGUUGUUUUAGUAUAUUAUAACGCAAGGUGGACUCAUUGACUCCCCAGUAGUUUAUGCAGCACCAAGGUAAUAUUAUGUUUUGGUGUCAUUCAGAUGCAUGGUCUGUUUGAUAGUGAACUGCGGACAGCUCAUAUUAAGAGGUAAGAGAAAGAAGUUUUUGCUUCCUUAAUAAACUAUAAGAGUUCUUCCGGUUACUUUAAUUUUGAUAUUAAUGGUCAUAAUAUUGUAUUUACUGCGAUUUCGAUAUCUAUAGUAUAUAAAAGGAGUGGAUGGUUCCUACUGGUUUCUGAAACAUUGGUGUAUAUUCAUGAGAAAAUGGCUGCAAGAAAACAUAAACGUAGCUUGAGAGAACUUUGUUAUAAAAAAAGCUUUUUGGAUGUUUGAGUAAUAAAGUGAUCUUUUCUUUUCCAUUUUCAAUGUAAUUGUUUCUUCUAGGAUAAUUAUGUAUUACAUAUACUUCUGAUAUUGAGUAUUUUAAGUUUUCAUAUUAAAGAGUUAUGUACAUAAAGAAUCUCCUUUAUUGUCGACAAGUUUGACUGACUGUUAGCUUUCCAAAAGCAAAGGUGAUUAGGUUGCAGGGUACAUGAAUGUAUUAGUCUAUGGUUAGAUAUUUAUCCUUUUUAAGGUUCUCAAAAAUGAAAGACUGCCGUAAAUCCUUUACAAAGUCCAGGUAAAUGCUUCAUCCCAGUGAAAAAGCACAUGAAGAAACUGAAGUCUCAAUUUGACUUGUCAGGCAGUUUGAAAUUAUCGAAAUAUUAUUUUCUGCAGGAAUGAACUAUUAAUAUUGUAGAUGAAUUUUUGUUAUGCUCGCAAACUUUUCAUGAUCAUGAUUGUGCCAUUUUUAAAACAUAGAGAAAAUGAAUACUGGUAAAGCUGAAACUGAAAAUUACCUGGGUAAUUCUGCUAUUACUUACACUUUGUGAUUUAGUUUUGACAUUCUUAUCAAUAAGAAUCUCUUUGUGCCUCAUUAGUCUCUGGCCUUGCCAUUAGUUGGAGCAAUCCUCUCCAUAACGUAUUAUAUUUGCAGUUGCAAGUAAUAAUAUGUUUGAACUGUAGCCUGCCAGGAUAUUAGACACUUCAAUUUAUCUAAGUUAUUCUUUACCGAAUGUAGGUAUAGCGUUUAUGUGCUAGCUUCUAUCUCCUAACUCCUCAUUGGAGGACCUUAAAUAGCCUUAAGAGGUGAGUAUAUAACAAAAGCAGACAGACAAUGGAGAAUUAUUUUGGGAUAAAAUCUCCAUGUAAUGUAGUUUCAUUCUGUUUUACUCAUAUCUUUCCCCGGUAAUAUUUGUCUUCUGUAGUAAUAUUCGCCUUGUGUAGUAAGUAAUUUGCUCUUUCUAAUAUGAUUCAAUUAAAAUGCUCACUUACAAAUAUUCCUUCUAAUAGCCAUAGGAUAUAUCUAUAUAGAUACUUACAACUCUAUGCAAAAGGCUGCUCUGUUGUUUCCAAAGUAGUAGUGCUUAACAUAUUUUUUCUAAAAAGCAAAUUUUUGACCAGUGAUCUCUGGUAUCGGUGGUUCAUGCUAUAGUAUUAAGAUGUUAUCGGAUGCAAGAUAUCAAGCUCCUUAUACAUGGUAAGUAAAAGGUAGAAAUGCCAUGGGUUUACUUUAUGCUUCUUUGGGUGGUCAAUACAUUUAUGUAAUUAACAUAACCACGAAAAUAUUGUGGUAAAUUAGAGUUUGGUAGCAAGUAAUUGAUUGAAUUUUGCCAUGAAAUAGUGUUGAAAAAUUACUCUUUUAUAGUUAGAGAAUCCUGGAUGAUGCAAAUAAUCUCAGUACGGAGGUGCAAAAGUAUGUGUUUAUUGCCAAGGAAUAGAAUCUUGAAUGAGGAUGGAGGUUAAAGAAAGCUUGGUUUGUUUGUUUCUCCCUUCGUCUCUCUGAUUUUGCUGAUUGAUAAGUCGGUGUGAGAUUUGUCAGCGUCUUCUUCAUAUAUAAUUCCAUUAUUUUUUGGUUUUAUCUCCUCAUCUUAUUCUUAUUAAUUAUUUUCUGACUAAUUAGAUUUCGUUGCUUUCAUCUUCAUUGCUUGAUUUGGGUAAAACUGUAUUGGGUUUUGAUUAUUUUGUGAAUGGUUAAUUUUUUUUUUCAAUGUUAAUGAUUUAACGUGGAGAUUUAAAACAGAUAUGUUGCAUUGUUACAGGGAAAAAUUUUAUGAAAUGGAGGGAGAGUUUGUAAUCUCAUGGAGAUGACAAUCCUUUCUCCUUUUACUGUUGUGUUAAUUAUGCUUAUACCUUUGCUAUAGAUUUCUGCUCAAUUAAAAAAAAAGAGGUAUAUUAAUUGUACUUUAAUUGGUUUUGCAGCAAAACCUUAAUUGUCAUCUUUCACAAGGAUUUUUUCUCUUUCAAAUUUUCGAGAUAUUUAUAUUAGGCACACUGUACAAGCGCCGCGAUUUGAGAGACAACAUGAGAGUCCAAAAAUAUGGCUACAGUUUCCACUUACCAGUAGAGCUACAACUGCUGUUGUGCAUCCUUAUGCCAGAGUUGAAAUAUGGAUCUUCGAAUGCAUUUAGCUAGAAACGAGUUCUUUGGCGUUCAAGUUGGAUAAACUGUUCAUGACUUUGCUAUUAUCUCAGUGUCAAGAGCACAUCCUGAAAAUAUUCGAUGUAGUACUAUAGAAGGAAGCUGGUUCUUUUUUCCUAUCCCGCACUAGAGAGUAGAGAUGAUGUGAAGCAAUUGUUACUUUGCUUGAGGACAAAUAAUAUUGAUGUAAUUUGAAAAUGCAACAUUUAGAGAAUGCCUUGUGAUCUCAAUGUGAAUGAACUUUAAAAUUACCAAAAUGUAAAAUUAGAAAUGUAAGUAUCUUAUGUGACUGAGUUAGUUAGUGAUCCAUUUUCAAAGUUCAUCUA